rnacentral:siRNA from 1 species
UGCAAAUUACUAUUUUGUCCUUCU